CCAACGUGGAUACCCCAGAUCACUCUCCCGGGCUCUGUCCUGGUGGCAGAGUGGAGCACAGGGCUCUGCCGCAUGAUGUACAGUCCCUUUGCAGGACGCUGGAGAUGCAGCUGGGCCUUGCGUUGGCCCCUGUAUAUUCCUACCCCUUCUCAGGGUCCUAUGCACAGUGACUGAGGAGACACCAUGCAGGAAACAUCU